rnacentral:rRNA from 1 species
AACGAACGCUGGCGGCAGGCCUAACACAUGCAAGUCGAGCGAAGCCUUCGGGCUUAGCGGCGGACGGGUGAGUAACGCGUGGGAACGUGCCCUUUGGUACGGAAUAGCCCCGGGAAACUGGGAGUAAUACCGUAUGUGGUCGAGAGACGAAAGAUUUAUCGCCAAAGGAUCGGCCCGCGUUGGGUUAGGUAGUUGGUGGGGGAAUGGCCUACCAAGCCGACGAUCCAUAGCUGGUUUGAGAGGAUGAUCAGCCACACUGGGACAGAGACACCGCCCAGACUCCUACGGGAGGCAGCAGUGGGGAAUCUUAGACAAUGGGGGAAACCCUGAUCUAGCCAUGCCGCGUGAUCGAUGAAGGCCUUAGGGUUGUAAAGAUCUUUCAGUGGGGAAGAUAAUGACUGUACCCACAGAAGAAGCCCCGGCUAACUCCAUGCCAGCCGCCGCCGUAAUAC